CUUCCCGUGACGAACUUUGCAAUUUCCUAUAAGAAAAACAAAAACGGGGGCUUUGUCGGGUCUAUAAAAGCACUGAAGUAGUUUUGAUUAAAUCGGUAGAGAGAGGUGGUAAGACUUUGAGAGGUUUACAACUUCGUAGAUAAGGAGAUUUGUUUCUCAAAUCAGUCGGCUGGACGAGGAGUUAAGGAGAUAACAUCGAAACUGAAGAACCUUCGUUUCGAUGAUCUGAAGGUAGCAGGAGGAGUCAGGCGUUAUUCGUAUAGCCUGACGAAGCUUCUUUCGGAGUUUAAAAUGAUGACCCCCAUUGAUCUCUUCAAGGUCAAGAAUCUCCUUUGUGAGUUUCAAAUCUCGAUCCCGACGACCCACAUUAAUGUUGUUAGCUCUUCUCCUGAAUUGAAAUCCAGAAUUAAUUUAACAAAUCCAGAGUUUGAAUUUUGUGUCGAUUUGAAUUUGGUUAAUUAUACUUGUCUACUGAAUUUUAAGGAUUAUGAAGGAAUUGCUCCUCUGCGUCUCUGGACUUCAACAAUACUACCCCAGAUUUGCCUAAAAGCAUCUCCAGCUCACUCUCUCUAUCUUCAUAGUUGAAGAAAUUUUUCCUCCAAACCAUCAGAAAUGGAAUUAUGAAGGGUCGGUCUGAAAAAAUAAAAAAGCUUCAAUGCAACGGUGAUAUGGAUGACAUGUUUCAUUAUUUACCAUCUUAGGCAUAUGUCGCAAGCUAAAAGUAGGGGCUCAUCCCUUUCAUAUGGGAGAAAUUUUUGUAUGUGGAUAGGGUAAAUGUGAUGUGGUACUUUUUAUUAUUGUGAUUGACUUUGAUGGCAGGGUCCAUUACAUUUAUGUUGAGUGCUUGGGAACAAUAAUGGACAUUUACAUUUGUGAUUAGUGAAAAAUAGAAUCACGUAAUACCCUAUUGACAUAUAAAAAUUUCUCUUCAUACAGUGUCUAUUGUUUGUGUCGGUAUUACAAUUACGUUGAAGUUUUACUUGGACUGGGGGUCACAUGCCCCCUCAAUUUUGGAUUUUUUUAUUUAUUGUUAUUUUAUAUAUGUUUAUGUAUAUAAGGAAAAUAAUUUACAAUUAAAAAUUUUAUUUAGAAAUAACAUUUAGAAUAAUUUGUUAAUGGCAGUCUUGAAAUUUUGAAAACAAUGGUGGUUGUGAAAAAAGUUCAAUGAAACGGUGAUACGACGUCAAUAUUAUUGACAUGUAAACAUAGUUAAUCUAACUAUGCAAAUUGAAAAUUAUUAGAUUACUAAUUAUAUUUGACAAAUGAGAUUCACCUUUUAUGAAUUGUUUUACUUUACCAUUGCUGGUGACGCCACAUGUUGAUGGUGAUGUGGUUUACCCUUAUGCUAAAAUUUUCUCAAGUUUUGUACAAAAAUUGAAAAAAGUAUAUUAGUUUUGUAUAAAUCUCUCAUAAGACUUAUGUAUAAGUAAACUAGUCACAAAUAAUAUCAUCUUUUCGAUUCCAAUCUUGCUCGAUGUCAAUUGUAAAAAUAUAUAUUAAAAUUUUUUGUAUUAAAUAUUUAAGAUUUUGUAUUAUCUACUAUUGAUUAUGGGAAAAUAACCGAAAUUAUAAUUAUAAGUGCCCCUCUCAAUUAAUUUUCUGACUCCGUCACUUCAACCUAUCUUCCAAUACCAUCUCCAUUUGGAAGAAGUGGUUUUUUUAUUUAUUUUUUAUUUUUUAUAUUUUUUAUGAGAAUCGAAGAAGUGAUCGAUUCUCUAAAUAUAGAGAAAAAAAGUAGGAGAAAUGAUGGACGAUUUUUAAUAUAUAGUACUAAAUGGAGAUGGUACUAAGUGGAUUUAUAAUUUUUAAAUACUAAUUUUAUCCUCAAUAUAUUUUCCUUUUAAUUUUAUCUAUCAA